GAUGAACGCUGGCGGCGUGCCUAAUACAUGCAAGUCGAGCGAACGGACGAGAAGCUUGCUUCUCUGAUGUUAGCGGCGGACGGGUGAGUAACACGUGGAUAACCUACCUAUAAGACUGGGAUAACUUCGGGAAACCGGAGCUAAUACCGGAUAAUAUUUUGAACCGCAUGGUUCAAAAGUGAAAGACGGUCUUGCUGUCACUUAUAGAUGGAUCCGCGCUGCAUUAGCUAGUUGGUAAGGUAACGGCUUACCAAGGCAACGAUGCAUAGCCGACCUGAGAGGGUGAUCGGCCACACUGGAACUGAGACACGGUCCAGACUCCUACGGGAGGCAGCAGUAGGGAAUCUUCCGCAAUGGGCGAAAGCCUGACGGAGCAACGCCGCGUGAGUGAUGAAGGUCUUCGGAUCGUAAAACUCUGUUAUUAGGGAAGAACAUAUGUGUAAGUAACUGUGCACAUCUUGACGGUACCUAAUCAGAAAGCCACGGCUAACUACGUGCCAGCAGCCGCGGUAAUACGUAGGUGGCAAGCGUUAUCCGGAAUUAUUGGGCGUAAAGCGCGCGUAGGCGGUUUUUUAAGUCUGAUGUGAAAGCCCACGGCUCAACCGUGGAGGGUCAUUGGAAACUGGAAAACUUGAGUGCAGAAGAGGAAAGUGGAAUUCCAUGUGUAGCGGUGAAAUGCGCAGAGAUAUGGAGGAACACCAGUGGCGAAGGCGACUUUCUGGUCUGUAACUGACGCUGAUGUGCGAAAGCGUGGGGAUCAAACAGGAUUAGAUACCCUGGUAGUCCACGCCGUAAACGAUGAGUGCUAAGUGUUAGGGGGUUUCCGCCCCUUAGUGCUGCAGCUAACGCAUUAAGCACUCCGCCUGGGGAGUACGACCGCAAGGUUGAAACUCAAAGGAAUUGACGGGGACCCGCACAAGCGGUGGAGCAUGUGGUUUAAUUCGAAGCAACGCGAAGAACCUUACCAAAUCUUGACAUCCUUUGACAACUCUAGAGAUAGAGCCUUCCCCUUCGGGGGACAAAGUGACAGGUGGUGCAUGGUUGUCGUCAGCUCGUGCCGUGAGAUGUUGGGUUAAGUCCCGCAACGAGCGCAACCCUUAAGCUUAGUUGCCAUCAUUAAGUUGGGCACUCUAGGUUGACUGCCGGUGACAAACCGGAGGAAGGUGGGGAUGACGUCAAAUCAUCAUGCCCCUUAUGAUUUGGGCUACACACGUGCUACAAUGGACAAUACAAAGGGCAGCGAAACCGCGAGGUCAAGCAAAUCCCAUAAAGUUGUUCUCAGUUCGGAUUGUAGUCUGCAACUCGACUACAUGAAGCUGGAAUCGCUAGUAAUCGUAGAUCAGCAUGCUACGGUGAAUACGUUCCCGGGUCU
rnacentral:rRNA from 1 species